GGCUCGGUAGCUUAGUUGGAAAAGCACUUGUCUAGCGAAUAAGGGUCCUGAGUUCAAAUCUCACCUGAGCUG
rnacentral:tRNA from 1 species